GACGAACGCUGGCGGCGUGCUUAACACAUGCAAGUCGAACGAAGAGCGACGGAAGCUUGCUUCUAUCAAUCUUAGUGGCGAACGGGUGAGUAACGCGUAAUCAACCUGCCCUUCAGAGGGGGACAACAGUUGGAAACGACUGCUAAUACCGCAUACGAUCUAAUCUCGGCAUCGAGGAUGGAUGAAAGGUGGCCUCUACAUGUAAGCUAUCACUGAAGGAGGGGAUUGCGUCUGAUUAGCUAGUUGGAGGGGUAACGGCCCACCAAGGCGAUGAUCAGUAGCCGGUCUGAGAGGAUGAAAGGCCACAUUGGGACUGAGACACGGCCCAGACUCCUACGGGAGGCAGCAGUGGGGAAUCUUCCGCAAUGGACGAAAGUCUGACGGAGCAACGCCGCGUGAGUGAUGACGGCCUUCGGGUUGUAAAGCUCUGUUAAUCGGGACGAAAGGCCUUCUUGCGAAUAGUGAGAAGGAUUGACGGUACCGGAAUAGAAAGCCACGGCUAACUACGUG
rnacentral:rRNA from 1 species